UCCUGUCUGCCGCUGCUUCCCACAACGUGCUCACUUACACGAGUUAACUUCCUACUUCCCAUGAAUACUGAAUACACUUGUAAUGCAGAAACAGAAAGAUAACGGAACUCAGUUGCUAUUUUAGAAUACGCCUCGAUUAAUUUAGGCCCCAAACACGGUCUUAAAACUAAAAUAUUUCUCUAUAAAAACACCUAUCAGAUGUCGGCGCAGCAUGCCCAGGCAUGCAGCUGUGCGCGUAUACAAACACACGUAGCCUACAGUAGGCUAUAGAGAUGCAUCGUGAACAGAGAUGUCUUCUGGACUGCCAGAGAGUGAGAUUGGACAAUGCAGCAAUUUCAUAUCCACAUUAUGCAAUGAUUGGCUUCAGUAGAACAAGUUAAUACGGUAUCAGUAGCCAAACAAUACGACCGCGAGUCUCCAUACUGCAACAAGUGCGCACGCAGUUCAAUUAGCAGCCGGAAGCGGGUUGACGCACGAGCCCAUUAGUGGUUAUCAGGUGCUGUUGACGUUCAGCUGUUACGUCGUUGCGAACUUGGACUUGCUUGCCAAGUUACAGGUAAAGUCAAAGGUAACAGCAGCUUCACCACACAUGUACAACCAUUAAAUACGUAAAAUUAAAUUAAACUACUAUGGUUAAUUAAAAAGCCCUAGUUGUAGUUUUGCAGUGGUAAAUUUCAAAUUGCCUAUCAGGUUAUUAAUACUGAUGUAUUAUCCUUUGGGGCCAGCUGUGGAUGCAUUAUGUGUAUUAAUUUUAUUUAUGUGUGUUAAACUAAUGUUUAUAAUUAUGAUAUGCGUACCGUGCAUAAAUAUGACUGUUUCCAUUUUUGAUGUUCUGUUUCUUCUGACAUCUGUUCUUAUGUUGUUAAGAUGGUGUAAUAUUGUAAAUAUUUUUGCCUGUGAGUCCAUGUCAUGCAUGAUCCAGCCAUACCACUUCUUACCUUUAGUGUGGACAUACUCUCCCUAAAGUGUACACUAUCCCUAACCUACUCCAGCCUUCCUGCCUGAGCUGUGGAAACAUUCUCCCUAAAGUGCACACUAUCCCUAACCUACUCCAGCCUUCCUGCCUUAAGGAUAGAAACAUUCUCCCUAAAGUGCACACUAUCAAAGCAUUGCAGUUGUCAGCCAGUAAGCACUCAAAAUGAAAACCUACUGCCCUACACAGGCAAGCAAAGAACAGCAAUAUCAUAACACAUGUUAACUUCCACAAAAGAACAAAUUCUAAACAAGAACACAAAAGCAUUUUUCAUUCUGUAGGUUUAUUGUCACUCAUUACAGAACUUGUUCAGGUUUUUCCUCCUAACAGUUUAAACUAUCAUAGGCUGCUCCAGAUUUAUGUUACUGUGUUCCAUCUGUAAAUAAAUAAAAUAA